GAUGAAGAACGUAGCGAAAUGCGAUAAGUAAUGUGAAUUGCAGAAUUCAGUGAAUCAUCGAAUCUUUGAACGCACAUUGCGCCCCCUGGUAUUCCGGGGGGCAUGCCUGUUCGAGCGUCAUUACAACCCUCAAGCUCUGCUUGGUAUUGGGCCCCGCCAGUUCUGGCGGGCCCUAAAGUCAGUGGCGGUGCCUUCCGGCUCCGAGCGUAGUAAUUCUUCUCGCUCUGGAGACCCGGUUGUGUGCUUGCCAACAACCCCCAAUUUUUUAAGGUUGACCUCGGAUCAGGUAGGGAUACCUGCUGAACUUAAGCAUAUCAAUAAGCGGAGGA
rnacentral:misc_RNA from 1 species